GUAGGUGAACCUGCGGAAGGGUCAUUAGUAAGUCGUCCCAUGCCCGUUCGUCGGGUAGGACAGAUUCCUCGCAUUUGGAUCCGGGUAGCCUAGGAGGCCGGAUUUCUGCUUAUAGGACCGGAGGGGCUCACGGGCCCCCGGGACAGCCUUGCGCUUGCGCAGCACCCGUCAACAAGUCCGACCUAUUUGUAAGCUUGCGAUGGUGGGUAGGAAUACCGCCUUAAGGAGUUGUGAUUUCAACCCGUGUCUA
rnacentral:misc_RNA from 1 species